GUGCUCCCUUCGGCAGCACAUAUACUAAAAUUCAAGCAAUACAGAGAAGAUUAGCAUGGCUCCUGCGCAAGGAUGACGUGCAAAUUCGUGAAGCGGUACAUUUAAAA
rnacentral:snRNA from 1 species